rnacentral:rRNA from 1 species
UGGGGAAUUGUUCACAAUGGGCGCAAGCCUGAUGACGCAACGCCGCGUGGGGGAUGAAGGUCUUCGGAUCGUAAACCCCUGUCGAAUGGGACGAAAGACUCGCGAGUGAAUACUUCGCGAGAGUGACGGUACCGUUAAAGGAAGCCACGGCUAACUCUGUGCCAGCAGCCGCGGUAAUACAGAGGUGGCAAGCGUUGUUCGGAAUUACUGGGCGUAAAGGGCGCGUAGGCGGCCCUCUAAGUCAGACGUGAAAUCCCCCGGCUUAACCUGGGAACUGCGUCUGAUACUGGAGGGCUUGAGUAUGGGAGAGGGAUGUAGAAUUCCAGGUGUAGCGGUGAAAUGCGUAGAUAUCUGGAGGAAUACCGGUGGCGAAGGCGGCAUCCUGGACCAUUACUGACGCUGAGGCGCGAAAGCUAGGGGANCAAACGGGAUUAGAUACCCAUGUAGUCCCUGAGCGGGCUGGCAAGGCGCAU